UAAAAGUGAAUUAAUUUGUAAAGAAUUGCUUUGUUGUGCACAAAGUUGAGCUCCUUACCAACUUAAACUACCCUUUGGUUUUUAAGCAAUUUGGUGUUAGUGUAUGUAAUUCUCUCCCCACUCUCCACUAACAGUCUUUUCACUAAAUUGUAUCUCCCUACAGACACAGAGCAUUGAGGGAAAAAAAGGGAUGCAGUUGUCUGCUGCCUCAUUAACUACCUUGGUGAAAGACAAGAAGAUCUUUUCCAUGACUGCCAGGAAUGUGAGGACUACACAGACAAAACAAUGAAGGUGAUCGUGAUGCACAACAUCAUGGCUGAGGAGGAUCCAUCAGAUGUGUCGAUUGUGAUUGAGGGAAACCAAGUGAUGGAAGGAUGUGGAAGCCGAACAAAAGCGUGUGUACUGCUGAUGGGACUGAUAUAUGCCCUCAACCUUGACUAUCCAAAGCAGCUCAAGAACACAUUUGAAGCUUUUCAAAAACUUUUUUUGGAACUUGAUGGGGCAAAACUACUGAAGAAGGUCCACAGCCUCAAAAACAAGCUCAUGCAAUAGACAUACAUUUCCCCUCUUGUUCCAAGAGGAUCUUUUGUCUGGACAGAGAGUUUUAAUGGAGUAUAGUUUUAUAUUUUUGUUCUCUUCCCUCCUCUGCUCCACACACAGACACAGAAAUAUAUGUACAGAUGGAUACAUAAGUAUGUUGCAGCCUCUCUCAGGUUUUUGUUGUGUAUAAAUACACCUGCAGAUUUCAGAUUUGCUCAGUCACUGUUGUGUGAGGCCGAAGAAACACAAGUAAGAGUUUAGAUACAAGAAAAUCUUCAUGUGAUUGGACAUCCCAUGCACCUCUGCUCUGAUCACCUCACUUCUCCUUUUCUCUAAUCAACUCCUUUCUUAUUGAGCAGUCUGGAUGUUCUAAAGCAGGGAUAUGUUUUAUUGUCCAACAUUACUGAAACAACAGUUGAAGUUGUUAGGUUAUAACGCAGGUUCAUUAUUUGAAAUGUUGUGUGACACUGUUGUGCUGCAGUUUAUUCUGUGUUUUUGAUGACUUUAUGGAUUAAAAACAUUGAGAAGGUGUA